GCCGGCGGCGCACGCGCAAGGGAGCGGGCGGACGGGCGCGCGCACGCCGCAGGGGCGGGGAUGGGCCCUGGAAGGCGUGGCCCCUCCCCUAGCCCGCCUUCCCACGCGGUCUCUGGGCUGGUUGAGCUGCGCCGCUGCAGGUAGUGCUGAGUUGCUCCAGAUUGGAGAGGAUGAAGGCCCUGAGGUCCAAGAACAUGGAAACCUGACAGUGGACGCCAACAGCUGUGGAGAGAAGCCGGGCGACAGCUGUGGAGAGAAGCCGGGCGAUAUGCUCACGCUUCCGUGUGCCCAGCAAUCCUGCUUUAUCUUUUUAAAUAAAGGUGAUUCCUGAUAACACU
rnacentral:lncRNA from 1 species